CUAGAAACAAUAAGGGGAUGUACAUCUCAAAACAUGAGUUAUCUAUCUAUAUAUUUGCUUUAAACAAUAGAGUUUGAAAGGCAGAAUUCAAAGGAACCUGCUAUUCUGAACUUGUACAAAGGAAGUGGUUUCCUUAGCAACAGGAAAUAGGUGAAAGCUCUCAGGAGUGAUCCUUCCACCCAUGUUCCUUUUGAGUUUGGUAAUGUUUCCAUGCUCAUGUAGGAAAGAUAGAGUGAAUUUAUCAUGAAGAAACAAUACUGCUAGUUAGGGAGCUUUCACCGCAUUUAUGAGUUGACAAAUGCCUUGUUGUUUGAUGUCGCUGGCAUAACAGAAGCCAUCAGACUAGAGACGAGGGGUCUUUUUCCCCCCUUCUGUAUAUUCCCCAGAUGUAUAAGCUCUUAAAACUAUUUUGUGAAUUCCUAAUAACUUAUAAGGCCCAUCCUGAUAAAAUGGGCACAUGUGGAAAUGACAUAGCAGGUUUUUGCACACAUCUAAUUAUUCCAUCAAUUUCUAACCUCAUCUCUAUGUGUAAGAAGAGGCAGAGAGAACUUGAGAUAGAUUUAAAAUUAAUACAGCUACUUCAAUGUUUUGAAAUAUAGCAUCGGAAAAGAAGUCUUAAUAUGCCUACAACAUUUUGAGGGACAUGGAUGAAUCUGGAGAACGUCAUCCUCAGCAAACUGACACAAGAACAGAAAAUGAAACACCGCAUAUUCUCACUCAUAGGUGGGUGAUGAAAAAUGAGAACACAUGGG
rnacentral:lncRNA from 13 species